UACGUAGGGGGCAAGCGUUGUCCGGAAUCAUUGGGCGUAAAGCGCGCGUAGGCGGCCCGGUAAGUCCGCUGUAAAAGUCCAGGGCUCAACCCUGGAAAGCCGGUGGAUACUGUCGGGCUAGAGUCCGGAAGAGGCGAGUGGAAUUCCUGGUGUAGCGGUGAAAUGCGCAGAUAUCGGGAAGAACACCCGUGGCGAAGGCGGUUCUCUGGGACGGUACUGACGCUGAGACGCGAAAGCGUGGGGAGCGAACAGG
rnacentral:rRNA from 1 species